rnacentral:rRNA from 1 species
GAUGAGCUUUGGCGGCGUGCCUAAUACAUGCAAGUCGAGCGAACAGAUAAGGAGCUUGCUCCUUUGACGUUAGCGGCGGACGGGUGAGUAACACGUGGGUAACCUACCUAUAAGACUGGGAUAACUUCGGGAAACCGGAGCUAAUACCGGAUAAUAUUUCGAACCGCAUGGUUCGAUAGUGAAAGAUGGUUUUGCUAUCACUUAUAGAUGGACCCGCGCCGUAUUAGCUAGUUGGUAAGGUAACGGCUUACCAAGGCGACGAUACGUAGCCGACCUGAGAGGGUGAUCGGCCACACUGGAACUGAGGCACGGUCCAGACUCCUACGGGAGGCAGCAGUAGGGAAUCUUCCGCAAUGGGCGAAAGCCUGACGGAGCAACGCCGCGUGAGUGAUGAAGGUCUUCGGAUCGUAAAACUCUGUUAUUAGGGAAGAACAUACGUGUAAGUAACUGUGCACGUCUUGACGGUACCUAAUCAGAAAGCCACGGCUAACUACGUGCCAGCAGCCGCGGUAAUACGUAGGUGGCAAGCGUUAUCCGGAGUUAUUGGGCGUAAAGCGCGCGUAGGCGGUUUUUUAAGUCUGAUGUGAAAGCCCACGGCUCAACCGUGGAGGGUCAUUGGAAACUGGAAAACUUGAGUGCAGAAGAGGAAAGUGGAAUUCCAUGUGUAGCGGUGAAAUGCGCAGAGAUAUGGAGGAACACCAGUGGCGAAGGCGACUUUCUGGUCUGUAACUGACGCUGAUGUGCGAAAGCGUGGGGAUCAAACAGGAUUAGAUACCCUGGUAGUCCACGCCGUAAACGAUGAGUGCUAAGUGUUAGGGGGUUUCCGCCCCUUAGUGCUGCAGCUAACGCAUUAAGCACUCCGCCUGGGGAGUACGACCGCAAGGUUGAAACUCAAAGGAAUUGACGGGGACCCGCACAAGCGGUGGAGCAUGUGGUUUAAUUCGAAGCAACGCGAAGAACCUUACCAAAUCUUGACAUCCUUUGACAACUCUAGAGAUAGAGCUUCCCCCUUCGGGGGACAAAGUGACAGGUGGUGCAUGGUUGUCGUCAGCUCGUGUCGUGAGAUGUUGGGUUAAGUCCCGCAGCGAGCGCAACCCUUAAGCUUAGUUGCCAUCAUUAAGUUGGGCACUCUAAGUUGACUGCCGGUGACAAACCGGAGGAAGGUGGGGAUGACGUCAAAUCAUCAUGCCCCUUAUGAUUUGGGCUACACACGUGCUACAAUGGACAAUACAAAGGGCAGCGAAACCGCGAGGUCAAGCAAAUCCCAUAAAGUUGUUCUCAGUUCGGAUUGUAGUCUGCAACUCGACUACAUGAAGCUGGAAUCGCUAGUAAUCGUAGAUCAGCAUGCUACGGUGAAUACGCUCCCGGGUCU